rnacentral:rRNA from 1 species
AGUGAACGCUGGCGGCGUGCUUAACACAUGCAAGUCGAACGAGAACGGAUUAUAGCUUGCUAUAAUUGUCAGCUAAGUGGCGCACGGGUGAGUAAUGUAUAGGUAAUAUGCCUCUUACUAAGGGAUAACAAAUGGAAACGUUUGCUAAUACCUUAUACUCCUUAUUAACAUAAGUUAAUAAGGGAAAGAUUUAUUGGUAAGAGAUUAGCCUGUAUUGUAUCAGUUAGUUGGUGGGGUAAUGGCUUACCAAGACUAUGACACAUAACUGGUUUGAGAGGAUGAUAAGGCACACUGGAACUGAGACACGGUCCAGACUCCUACGGGAGGCAGCAGUGGGGAAUAUUGCACAAUGGACGAAAGUCUGAUGCAGCAACGCCGCAUGGAGGAUGACACAUUUCGGUGCGUAAACUCCUUUUAUAUGAGAAGAUAAUGACGGUAUUAUAUGAAUAAGCACCGGCUAACUCCGUGCCAGCCGCCGCCGUAA